rnacentral:piRNA from 1 species
UACUAUGACACACUUGGUUGUCCAUGGUCUG